rnacentral:rRNA from 1 species
UGCGAGUGAAGCGGGAAGAGCUCAAAUUUUGAAUCUGGCAGUCCUUGGCUGUCCGAGUUGUAAUCUAGAGAAGUGUUUUCCGCGCCGGACCGUGUAUAAGUCUCCUGGAAGGGAGCGUCGUAGAGGGUGAGAAUCCCGUCUUUGACACGGACUACCAGUGCUAUGUGAUGCGCUCUCGACGAGUCGAGUUGUUUGGGAAUGCAGCUCAAAACGGGUGGUAAACUCCAUCUAAAGCUAAAUACAGGCGAGAGACCGAUAGCGAACAAGUACCGUGAGGGAAAGAUGAAAAGAACUUUGGAAAGAGAGUUAAACAGUACGUGAAAUUGCUGAAAGGGAAACGCUUGAUGUCAGUCGCGUUGGCUGGGGAUCAACCUUGCUUCGCGCUGGGUGUACUUCCCGGUCGACGGGUCAGCAUCAGUUUCAGUCGCCGUACAAGGGCGAGGGGAACGUGGCACUCCUCGGAGUGUGUUAUAGCCUUUCGUCGUAUGCGGCGGUCGGGACUGAGGUGCUCAGCACAGCUUCUUGCUUGUGCUCAGGAUGCUGGCAUAAUGGCCUUAAGCGACCCGUCUG